UACGUAGGGUGCAAGCGUUGUCCGGAAUUAUUGGGCGUAAAGAGCUUGUAGGCGGUUUGUCGCGUCUGCUGUGAAAUUUCGGGGCUCAACCCCGAACUUGCAGUGGGUACGGGCAGACUAGAGUGUGGUAGGGGAGACUGGAAUUCCUGGUGUAGCGGUGAAAUGCGCAGAUAUCAGGAGGAACACCGAUGGCGAAGGCAGGUCUCUGGGCCAUAACUGACGCUGAGAAGCGAAAGCAUGGGGAGCAAACGGGG
rnacentral:rRNA from 1 species